UCCAGCAGCCAUACCACCUGAAGUUCAGACUAAGUAAUUCAUGUGAGGCUAAGCAGGUUUGGUCCUGGUCAGUACAUGGAUGGGAGGAAAGCUGGGCUGCUGCUGGAA
rnacentral:rRNA from 1 species